rnacentral:rRNA from 1 species
UAGGGAAUCUUCGGCAAUGGACGAAAGUCUGACCGAGCAACGCCGCGUGAGUGAAGAAGGGUUUCGGAUCGUAAAACUCUGUUGUUAGAGAAGAACAAGGACGUUAGUAACUGAACGUCCCCUGACGGUAUCUAACCAGAAAGCCACGGCUAACUACGUGCCAGCAGCCGCGGUAAUACGUAGGUGGCAAGCGUUGUCCGGAUUUAUUGGGCGUAAAGCGAGCGCAGGCGGUUUCUUAAGUCUGAUGUGAAAGCCCCCGGCUCAACCGGGGAGGGUAAUUGGAAACUGGGAGACUUGAGUGCAGAAGAGAAGAGUGGAAUUCCAUGUGUAGCGGUGAAAUGCGUAGAUAUAUGGAGGAACACCAGUGGCGAACGCGGCUCUCUGGUCUGUAACUGACGCUGAGGCUCGAAAGCGUGGGGAGCAAACAGG